rnacentral:rRNA from 1 species
UACGGAGGGUGCAAGCGUUAAUCGGAAUUACUGGGCGUAAAGCGCACGCAGGUGGCUGAGUCAGUCGAUUGUGAAAGCCCUGGGCUUAACCUGGGAAUUGCAGUCGAUACUACUCAGCUAGAGUAUGGGAGAGGGCAGUGGAAUUCCCGGUGUAGCGGUGAAAUGCGUAGAGAUCCGGAGGAACACCAGUGGCGAAAGCGGCCACCUGGACUGCACCUGACGCUGAAACGCGAAAGCUAGGGGAGCGAACGGG